AAUCAACGCUGGCGGCGUGCCUCAGACAUGCAAGUCGAACGAUUAAGACUUCCUUCGGGAAGUGUAUAAAGUGGCGCACGGGUGAGUAACACGUAAGUAAUCUACCUUCGAGUGGGGAAUAACGUUCGGAAACGAACGCUAAUACCGCAUAAUGCAGCGGCACCUAAUGGUGACAGUUGUUAAAGGAGCAAUUCGCUUGAAGAGGAGCUUGCGGCAGAUUAGCUAGUUGGUAAGGUAAUGGCUUACCAAGGCUACGAUCUGUAACCGGUCUAAGAGGACGGUCGGUCACACUGACACUGAAUAACGGGUCAGACUCCUACGGGAGGCAGCAGUCGGGAAUUUUGGGCAAUGGGCGAAAGCCUGACCCAGCAACGCCGCGUGAAGGAUGAAGUAUUUCGGUAUGUAAACUUCGAAAGAAUGGGAAGAAUCAAUGACGGUACCAUUUAUAAGGUCCGGCCAACUACGUGCCAGCCGCCGCCGUAAAAC
rnacentral:rRNA from 1 species